GAGUUUGAUCUUGGCUCAGAACGAACGCUGGCGGCAUGCCUAACACAUGCAAGUCGAACGGGAUCCUGGCUUCGGUCAGGUGAGAGUGGCGGACGGGUGAGUAACACGUGGGAAUCUGCCUUUUGGUUCGGGAUAACCGCGGGAAACUGCGGCUAAUACCGGAUGCUCCCGAGAGGGAAAAGAUUUAUCGCCAGAAGAGGAGCCCGCGUCCGAUUAGGUAGUUGGUAGGGUAAUGGCCUACCAAGCCAACGAUCGGUAGCUGGUCUGAGAGGAUGAUCAGCCACACUGGGACUGAGAUACGGCCCAGACUCCUACGGGAGGCAGCAGUGGGGAAUAUUGGACAAUGGGGGCAACCCUGAUCCAGCAAUGCCGCGUGAGUGAUGAAGGCCUUAGGGUUGUAAAGCUCUUUUGCCAGGGAAGAUGAUGACUGUACCUGGAGGAUAAGCCCCGGCUAACUUCGUGCCAGCCGCCGCCGUAAC
rnacentral:rRNA from 1 species